UACGGAGGGUGCAAGCGUUGUCCGGAUUUAUUGGGUUUAAAGGGUGCGUAGGCGGCUUUUUAAGUCAGUGGUGAAAUACAGCAGCUCAACUGUUGAGGUGCCAUUGAUACUGAAGAGCUUGAGUACAGAUGAGGUAGGCGGAAUUUAUGGUGUAGCGGUGAAAUGCAUAGAUACCAUAAAGAACACCGAUUGCGAAGGCAGCUUACUAAGCUGUAACUGACGCUGAGGCACGAAAGCGUGGGGAUCAAACAGG
rnacentral:rRNA from 1 species